GAUGAACGCUGGCGGUGUGCCUAAUACAUGCAAGUCGUACGCAUUCUCGUUUCUGAUUGACGGUGCUUGCACCUAAUUGACGAGACAUUGGAAUGAGUGGCGGACGGGUGAGUAACACGUGGGUAACCUGCCCAGAAGCGGGGGGUAACAUUUGGAAACAGAUGCUAAUACCGCAUAAAAGUCAAAACCACAUGGUUUUGAUUUAAAAGAUGGCCUUUGUGCUAUCACUUCUGGAUGGACCCGCGGCGUAUUAGCUAGUUGGUAAGGUAAUGGCUUACCAAGGCAAUGAUACGUAGCCGAACUGAGAGGUUGAUCGGCCACAAUGGGACUGAGACACGGCCCAUACUCCUACGGGAGGCAGCAGUGGGGAAUUUUGGACAAUGGGCGCAAGCCUGAUCCAGCCACGCCGCGUGAGUGAUGAAGGCCUUCGGGUCGUAAAGCUCUGUGGGGAGGGACGAACCGCUGAACGUUCAUAGCGUUCAGCAUGACGGUACCUCCUUAGCAAGCACCGGCUAACUUCGUGCCAGCCGCCGCAGUAA
rnacentral:rRNA from 1 species